rnacentral:misc_RNA from 1 species
UUGAACGUGUGCUCGCCGCGU